UAUAUACUCAUUCCAUUAUCGGUAUAAGGGCUUUUAUGGUGACUUUAAGUGUGCCGCUAAACCUAUCACUCCUAAUUGUCCUAUUUUGUACAAAAACGAAGUGAACGAAAAUAAACCCUAAAGUAACAAAUCUCCUCCUCGUAAAAUCUCUAAUUUGCUCCAUCUUCUCAACCCCAAAUCAGUCUAAACUUGCUCCUAACUGAAGAGGGUCACACACUAUCGAUGGUGAUCACGCUCUUUUUGGUCUCAUUAUUCGUCAAAUGGAGCGCUAACUUCCUUCAUCGUUUCUUCCUCUCUAGAUUUUGUGCUCUCUGCUCUGUUGAGGUGAAAAAUCUAAUCCUAUUUUUGUAUUGUGAUGCUUUACAGACUAUGCUCAUAUUCAGGAGAAAAGAUUACAUCUAAUGAGGAUUAGUGCAUUUUUGCGGCAUGAGAUUUAGGUGGUAACAGAACUGUCCAAAGUGUGCACAAACGAUAAUGCCAUGCCAUCUUAUUGAACAUCAAAAAGGAGUUGCACGUGCGGAUACGCUAAUAUUAUUUCCUAGAGGUUUUGUUCAGGAUUUUUCUCGCACCUUUGACUGUAUUCCAGAAUACGAGAGAAAGUCAUGGUCUUCAAGAGGAAAUGAUUCUAGCCAAGGAGGAGCUCCAAGAUAGUUUAUUUUUAUAUUGUAACUUUUUUUGUGUUUCAUGUGUAUACACAAUUACUAUACAUUAUGAUUUUUGGUUAAUAGAAGUUCAUGUAUCAUUUUGUUUGAAAAUUAUCUUCAAUGGUG